rnacentral:rRNA from 1 species
AUUGAACGCUGGCGGCAGGCUUAACACAUGCAAGUCGAACGAGUGGCGGACGGGUGAGUAAUGCUUGGGAAUCUAGCUUAUGGAGGGGGAUAACUACGGGAAACUGUAGCUAAUACCGCGUACCAUAGGAUGAGCCCAAGUGGGAUUAGGUAGUUGGUGUGGUAAAGGCCCACCAAGCCGACGAUCUCUAGCUGGUCUGAGAGGAUGACCAGCCACCCUGGAACUGGUACACGGCCCAGACUCCUACGGGAUGCCGCAGUGGGGAAUAUUGCGCAAUGUGGGCAUCCUGACGCUUCCAUGCCGCUUGAAUGAAAAGGGCCUUCUGUUUGUAAAGUUCUUUCGGUAGCGAGGCGUUAACUACAGAAGAAGCACCGGCUAACUCCGUGCCAGCAGCCGCGGUAAUUC